rnacentral:siRNA from 1 species
GAGAAUAGCCAGGUUUCACCUACU